rnacentral:rRNA from 1 species
GGGUUGUGAGGUUAAGCGACUAAGCGUACACGGUGGAUGCCCUGGCAGUCAGAGGCGAUGAAGGGCGUACUAAUCUGCGAUAAGCGCCGGUAAGGUGAUAUGAACCGUUAUAACCGGCGAUACCCGAAUGGGGAAACCCAGUGUGAUUCGUCACACUAUCAUUAACUGAAUCCAUAGGUUAAUGAGGCGAACCGGGGGAACUGAAACAUCUAAGUACCCCGAGGAAAAGAAAUCAACCGAGAUUCCCCCAGUAGCGGCGAGCGAACGGGGAGGAGCCCAGAGCCUGAAUCAGCAUGUGUGUUAGUGGAAGCGUCUGGAAAGGCGCGCGAUACAGGGUGACAGCCCCGUACACAAAAGCGCAUGUGCUGUGAGCUCGAUGAGUAGGGCGGGACACGUGGUAUCCUGUCUGAAUAUGGGGGGACCAUCCUCCAAGGCUAAAUACUCCUGACUGACCGAUAGUGAACCAGUACCGUGAGGGAAAGGCGAAAAGAACCCCGGCGAGGGGAGUGAAAAAGAACCUGAAACCGUGUACGUACAAGCAGUGGGAGCCCCACCACCAAAGCAUUUGCUGUACCGCGUUGACGGAGCGAAGCGACGUCAAACCGAUAAAACAGCAGUGUAAAGUGAGCCGCAGGGCGCUUUGCGCGACAGCGCAAAGGCAGGCGGUUUCGCGUAGCGAAAGCGAAUGCUUUGGGGUGGGGUGACUGCGUACCUUUUGUAUAAUGGGUCAGCGACUUAUAUUCUGUAGCAAGGUUAACCGAAUAGGGGAGCCGGAGGGAAACCGAGUCUUAAUUGGGCGUUAAGUUGCAGGGUAUAGACCCGAAACCCGGUGAUCUAGCCAUGGGCAGGUUGAAGGUUGGGUAACACUAACUGGAGGACCGAACCGACUAAUGUUGAAAAAUUAGCGGAUGACCUGUGGCUGGGGGUGAAAGGCCAAUCAAACCGGGAGAUAGCUGGUUCUCCCCGAAAGCUAUUUAGGUAGCGCCUCGUGAAUUCAUCUCCGGGGGUAGAGCACUGUUUCGGCUAGGGGGCCAUCCCGGCUUACCAACCCGAUGCAAACUGCGAAUACCGGAGAAUGUUAUCACGGGAGACACACGGCGGGUGCUAACGUCCGUCGUGAAGAGGGAAACAACCCAGACCGCCAGCUAAGGUCCCAAAGUCAUGGUUAAGUGGGAAACGAUGUGGGAAGGCCCAGACAGCCAGGAUGUUGGCUUAGAAGCAGCCAUCAUUUAAAGAAAGCGUAAUAGCUCACUGGUCGAGUCGGCCUGCGCGGAAGAUGUAACGGGGCUAAACCAUGCACCGAAGCUGCGGCAGCGACACUGUGUGUUGUUGGGUAGGGGAGCGUUCUGUAAGCCUGCGAAGGUGGCCUGUGAGGGUUGCUGGAGGUAUCAGAAGUGCGAAUGCUGACAUAAGUAACGAUAAAGCGGGUGAAAAGCCCGCUCGCCGGAAGACCAAGGGUUCCUGUCCAACGUUAAUCGGGGCAGGGUGAGUCGACCCCUAAGGCGAGGCCGAAAGGCGUAGUCGAUGGGAAACGGGUUAAUAUUCCCGUACUUGGUGUUACUGCGAAGGGGGGACGGAGAAGGCUAUGUUGGCCGGGCGACGGUUGUCCCGGUUUAAGCGUGUAGGUGUGUGUUCCAGGUAAAUCCGGUUCACUUUAACACUGAGGCGUGACGACGAGGCACUACGGUGCUGAAGCAACAAAUGCCCUGCUUCCAGGAAAAGCCUCUAAGCAUCAGGUAACAUCAAAUCGUACCCCAAACCGACACAGGUGGUCAGGUAGAGAAUACCAAGGCGCUUGAGAGAACUCGGGUGAAGGAACUAGGCAAAAUGGUGCCGUAACUUCGGGAGAAGGCACGCUGACACGUAGGUGAAGUGAUUUACUCAUGGAGCUGAAGUCAGUCGAAGAUACCAGCUGGCUGCAACUGUUUAUUAAAAACACAGCACUGUGCAAACACGAAAGUGGACGUAUACGGUGUGACGCCUGCCCGGUGCCGGAAGGUUAAUUGAUGGGGUCAGCGCAAGCGAAGCUCCUGAUCGAAGCCCCGGUAAACGGCGGCCGUAACUAUAACGGUCCUAAGGUAGCGAAAUUCCUUGUCGGGUAAGUUCCGACCUGCACGAAUGGCGUAAUGAUGGCCAGGCUGUCUCCACCCGAGACUCAGUGAAAUUGAACUCGCUGUGAAGAUGCAGUGUACCCGCGGCAAGACGGAAAGACCCCGUGAACCUUUACUAUAGCUUGACACUGAACAUUGAGCCUUGAUGUGUAGGAUAGGUGGGAGGCUUUGAAGUGUGGACGCCAGUCUGCAUGGAGCCGACCUUGAAAUACCACCCUUUAAUGUUUGAUGUUCUAACGUGGACCCGUUACCCGGGUUGCGGACAGUGUCUGGUGGGUAGUUUGACUGGGGCGGUCUCCUCCUAAAGAGUAACGGAGGAGCACGAAGGUUGGCUAAUCCUGGUCGGACAUCAGGAGGUUAGUGCAAUGGCAUAAGCCAGCUUGACUGCGAGCGUGACGGCGCGAGCAGGUGCGAAAGCAGGUCAUAGUGAUCCGGUGGUUCUGAAUGGAAGGGCCAUCGCUCAACGGAUAAAAGGUACUCCGGGGAUAACAGGCUGAUACCGCCCAAGAGUUCAUAUCGACGGCGGUGUUUGGCACCUCGAUGUCGGCUCAUCACAUCCUGGGGCUGAAGUAGGUCCCAAGGGUAUGGCUGUUCGCCAUUUAAAGUGGUACGCGAGCUGGGUUUAGAACGUCGUGAGACAGUUCGGUCCCUAUCUGCCGUGGGCGCUGGAGAACUGAGGGGGGCUGCUCCUAGUACGAGAGGACCGGAGUGGACGCAUCACUGGUGUUCGGGUUGUCAUGCCAAUGGCACUGCCCGGUAGCUAAAUGCGGAAGAGAUAAGUGCUGAAAGCAUCUAAGCACGAAACUUGCCCCGAG